rnacentral:rRNA from 1 species
UACAGAGGUGGCAAGCGUUGUUCGGAAUUACUGGGCGUAAAGGGCGCGUAGGCGGUCUUGUCAGUCCCUUGUGAAAUCCCCCGGCUCAACUGGGGAACUGCACGGGAAACAGCAGGGCUUGAGUUCGGGAGAGGGAAGCGGAAUUCCGGGUGUAGCGGUGAAAUGCGUAGAUAUCCGGAGGAAGACCGGUGGCGAAGGCGGUCUGCUGGGCAGUUUCUGACACUGAGGCGCGACAGCGUGGGGAGCAAACAGG